rnacentral:rRNA from 1 species
AAUCAACGCUGGCGGCGUGCCUAACACAUGCAAGUCGAACGCGAGAGGGGCUUCGGCCCCAAUUGAGUGGCGAACGGGUGAGUAACACGUGGGUGAUCUACCUUUGAGUGGGGGAUAACGUUCCGAAAGGAACGCUAAUACCGCAUGACGUUCCGGGUUUGAAGACCUGGAAACCAAAGCCGGGGCCCUUAGGGAAACUUAAGGCCUGGCGCUUGGAGAGGAGCCCGCGCCUGAUUAGCUAGUUGGUGGGGUAACGGCNCACCAAGGCGACGAUCAGUAGCCGGCCUGAGAGGGCGGACGGCCACACUGGGACUGAGACACGGCCCAGACUCCUACGGGAGGCAGCAGUGGGGAAUUGUUCGCAAUGGGCGCAAGCCUGACGACGCAACGCCGCGUGGA